UUACGGGGUGCAGCAGGCGCGAAAACUUGGCAAUGCGAGAAAUCGUGACCAGGGAACUCCAAGUGCAUGGGGUAAGACCCAUGCUUUUCUUGACUCUAAAUAGGUCUUGGAAUAAGGGGUGGGUAAGGACGGUGCCAGCCGCCGCGGUAAUACCGGCGCCUCAAGUGGUAGUCGCUUUUAUUGGGCCUAAAACGUCCGUAGCCGGUCUGAUACAUUCGUGGGUAAAUCAACCAGCUUAACUGGUUGAAUUCUGCGAGGACGGUCAGACUUGGGACCGGGAGAGGUGUGGGGUACGCUCAGGGUAGGGGUAAAAUCCUGUCAUCCUGAGCGGACCACCUGUUGCGAAGGCGCCACACUAGAACGGAUCCGACGGUCAGGGACGAAGCCUAGGGGCACGAACCGGAUUAGAUACCCGGGUAGUCCUAGGUGUAAACGCUGUGGAUUUGAUGUUGGGGGUGCUCCGAGCACUCUCAGUGUCGAAGCGAAGGUGAUAAGUCCACUGCCUGGGAAGUACGGUCGCAAGGCUGAAACUUAAAGGAAUUGGCGGG
rnacentral:rRNA from 1 species